rnacentral:lncRNA from 1 species
AUAGUUUUAUAUAAGUUUGUAAGUAAGUAAGUAAAUGACAGAAUGCUUUUAGGCACAUUCAGUGGAAGGAGCGGUAGGGUCUGUAUGUUAUCCUGAAAAGAAAAUGAGACUUGAAAAAAGAAAAUCAAUUAUGACCUAAUGGUUAGACUGAGCUCAGGAAUUAUCCAAAAACGAAAAAGCAAAAUACAGAAAGUGGUAUUUUUAGUGAGUGUAAUGUGCAACGUAUGGCUGCAGAGUUGAACUAACUCGGUGGUUAUUGAUCACCGUGAAGUGUUGAUCAUGAUCUAAAAGUGUACGUCGUAAGGCAAGUUUACGGGACUGCACUUCUGAUAAACUGUACUAAACAGCUGUGAACUUUGCUGCUUAGAAUGAGCAGAAAGUUCCAGCUCCGCAAGCACCUUGCAUCUAGUUUGAAACUUGUCUUGAAUAAAUAUUUGAAUUCAAGACUGGUCAACAAAAGAGCAGGCAAAAAUAUCAUUGUCACUGAGUUUCCAUUUCUAUAUUUUAUAGAUCCAACCACUAAUUUAAAGUUUUAGAAAUCAAUUAUCUUUUUAGUGUCCUUGGAUUUAUAAUCCCAAUAGAGGAACUUAAAAUAAUCCUUUUAGGGGACUUUCUUUUCUUUGGCUGAUUUUUUUUUUUCCCCUUUCUCUUCUCAACAAGCUUAAGAAAUGUAACAUUUCUAAGCACUGGAUCUAUUUUCCUGACCUGGGUGUAAUGGCAUAGCUCUGCAGUGACUGAAGUUUUUGCUCUUUUUGUUUUCCUGUUUUGCAAAUUCUUCCUUUUGCCAAAAAUGUUUCCCAGCAGAACACUGCUGUGACUCACGCUUGCUUGUGACACUCGUCCCAGCUGCCCUCCUGAAGCACAAGCUUCUUCUUAGUAACUCUUCCCAUUCCAUGUGCUGUUCCUCGUCACAAAACUGGCUCUUCUCCCUCGUACUGUACCUUCUUUUCUUAAGACCCAAAUCCUCAUCAGCUUCAUUUACCAAAACAUAGUAAGAAGGUGGAAAACGAGGGUGAGUCAGUCUUUCAAGGUAAAGGAGCAGAACUGCGUAGUUACAAGCCACAUCCUCGGUGGUGCAGGCCAGCUGAGUCCUGGGAAUACGGGUGAGGUUGCAUACCUGCGUGCACGGUGACACUAAGGUUUUGUGUCGGCGAUUUCUUUAAUUAACCUAUUUCUGAGUGACUAAUCCCAGUAAACCUCUGUGGAGCUGGCCCAGAGAGGUUCUCAGAUGGGAGUGAAAUAUCUGGCUGGUGUGAGCCGAGAUUUCUCAUUUUUAAACAGGUUAUACAAAAGAGAAUGUAGUUCAGGAGUUAGCUAGAAAGACCUGAUUAAUUAAUUUAGCUUCUACUUUUCACUAUUACAGUUCCAAGUAGGAUACUAUAGGAAGUCAGUGCAAGGUGCAUGCUAGAUUGUUUUUAAGUCUCUGGGGUCAGCUUUGUGGCUUCUGCUUUCUUGCCUAAAUGAUGAGAGACUCUUUGAAGUCAACACUGAAAAUGAUUUUUUGCCUCCACUCUUCCAGCUGUGCCUACAUAGAAAUGCACAGUCCUGUGUGACAGACAGGAGUUUCUGAAGCAGCGGAAUGGUCUCCUUCUAAGAGGUCCUAAUCCUCUUAUCUGAAGAGUGCAAGGGUAGCCCUCUGGGUCACUGAACUAUAUUCAAGUCAUCAGCCAUUUCCAGUGGACCUUGCCAGAAGGGUUCCCUUGGAAUCUGACAAUUGGAAUUUAAGGGAGGAAGCAAAAGCUAAACUUUGACCCUAAGAUAGAAAGCUAUUUAUUUGUCGUCAGUGUUCAAGGCAUGACUAGUAUUUCUAAUUACUCUAAUAAACUCCCAAACUUCCUGACAUGAACACUCAUGGUAUUGUCCUACUAAAACUUGCAUUGUUUUGGUUUUCUAACUGGUCCUUCAUCCACAAUAAGCUAUGAUGGUAACUGUGUCAUAACAUGUAAAUCGUAGUUGCAAGGAUGUACCGUGACGGUUGAAGUAGGCUGGGUUUCAUUUCGAUCGUCCCAUACACAGCUCAUUUAAUUUUAGGGUUGACUUUUAGUUGGCACCACACCUGUUGUAUGAUAUUAUACAUUAUCCUUUAUUUAUGUAAGAUAAAAUGCCUUAUAUAUUAUUAAAGAGUAAGUGCAAUAAUAUGAAAUAGCCUGUACAUUUUUAAAAUGUUGUCGCCAAGGUAUGUAAAUCCACGUCUCUAUAAACAACCUUUUUUAAGUAAUUUUAAAAAAAUAAACACUGUUUACUACU